GAGUUUGAUCGUGGCUCAGAUUGAACGCUGGCGGCAUGCCUUACACAUGCAAGUCGAACGGCAGCACGGGAGCUUGCUCCUGGUGGCAAGUGGCGAACGGGUGAGUAAUGCAUCGGAACGUAUCCUGGAGUGGGGGAUAACGUAGCGAAAGUUACGCUAAUACCGCAUAUUCUGUGAGCAGGAAAGCGGGGGACCUUCGGGCCUCGCGCUCUUGGAGCGGCCGAUGUCGGAUUAGCUAGUUGGUGAGGUAAAGGCUCACCAAGGCGACGAUCCGUAGCAGGUCUGAGAGGAUGAUCUGCCACACUGGAACUGAGACACGGUCCAGACUCCUACGGGAGGCAGCAGUGGGGAAUUUUGGACAAUGGGGGCAACCCUGAUCCAGCCAUGCCGCGUGAGUGAAGAAGGCCUCGGUUGUAA
rnacentral:rRNA from 1 species